UAAAUAAUCUACAUAUUUCAGCCCAAAUAAAAUAGACUUUUAUAACUUCGCACCACAUUUCCGUGACUCAGUGACAUACUUACUGCUUAAAGAAGUUUCAGUGCAUUUCCAGGUUCUCCUACGUAGCUCCUGUAGGAAGCUGUGACUGGGGACAGUAUUUCUGUAGAGCGGUUGUUUCUAUAAAGGGGAUGAAAACAAGGAACCUGCCCGUUUGCCUUUCACACGAAGAAUUAUGGAAAGUCAGAGCAUUUUAAUCUGAGUUAGUUACACUGAAUUCCAGGAUGGAGUUGCAUUACAGUUGGGUUUCUGUAUAAUUUUCAAAACACAGGGAAUUGAGAUACCCAUUCAAGGAAUUCUUUGAAGAGUGUUUUGAAAUUGCUGUCACCUCCCUGCUAAUUGAUAGAUGCUAAAACUAAAAGUAUAUUAGAACAGUAGGUUACUGGCAUUUUCUCACUCAUUUAGAGUAGUCUGCACACUCUCUGAAGUGAAUCGUUUCCAGCUGAGAGUUGGACGAGGCUUGGUGUGCUUUGACCCAGCGAUGGCCAGAACGGGGAGCACGCAGCGCACAGGGCACAGAGGUGCUGUGCUGUGGUGGAGGACAGCGUUAGAAUUUCUGUUUAUACGUUCGAAUCCACGAAAAGAUUAUAUCAGCAUUUGAUAUUCAGAUUGACCCUGGCGCUCAUUCAGUCUGCAUGCCAUGUUGUCUUCUGUCACACGUUUGUGGGGAAAGUGGGAAGACUUGACAGUGGCAUUCUUGUGGGUGUGUUCAUUUAUGUUACCUGUUAAAGCUGUCAACUCCAGAUUUACUCAUAUAACAAAUAUUCUCUUAUGGUCUUAAAAAGAAUCCUGCAAAGAAACCAAGAUUGAAGAUAAUCUUUAUAAUGCAGGCAUUACAAAUGUAGCAUAUGCUACAUCUGCCUCCUGUAGCUCACCUAAAGUUUACCAAACCCGAGGUCUUCUGAAGGUGUCCUGUGUGCGGGCCAGGAUGGGCCAUCCUUAACCAGUGAAGACUGCUCUGCUCUAUGGAUUAUCUAAGAAUGAGGGUGAAAUUAAGACGUUUUCUGAUGGAAAAAAAAUGGAGAAUUUAUCACCAAAACUGCCUCACUAAAGGAACUUCUAAAAGAUAUACUUCAAGGUAGAGGAAAAUUAUCCCAGAACGUCUGCGAUGUAAGAAGUAAUAGUAAACAAAAUAAAAUGCAUCUAAAACAAAGAUACAGAAAUUUUGCGAGCCAAGAGAUGCCAGAGAGAUACCCAAAAGAAGCUCCUGUAGCUGUGUGGGGAAGUUCAUCUGCCGGAAGUCAGCACGGGGAUUCUCCCGCCUCGCUCUUGGAGUGACGCAAAAUACGCCACAGAGGCAAGUGACGUGAGUGUGCCGAGAAAAGUCCUAACCAGUGUGCACGGAGGAAUAACGACGAGAGUCGACACAUGAAUAGUUGUUGCUUUAGAGCUUGCGCAUCAACACCCAUUUUGGAGACCUGGAUUCGAGCAGGGAAGGCUGAGACUGGCUGACAGAUCUGGUGUCUUCUGGAAGAAAAUGCUGGUCCACAGCUUGGGCGCCUUCCACAAGGGUAAGCUCAGGCCCUGUCUGUAGCUGCCCUUGGUCAUCACCGUAGCUGCUGCGCGACAUUGCCUUCUCUUCUGGAGCCGCUGACGCUCUUUGGAUUACAAGAAGGGGAAGCCGACUCUGGCUCACUCGAGGGGAUGUGUUGAAACUUCACGGAAUCAAAGAGCUGACCAGCCAGUCCUAGGACAGGUGGGACUCAGGACGAUCAGGGGGACUGAGUGGCAGAGGCUCCAGGAACACCCCAGUACACCCCAUAAGAUGCCCGACUUCUCCGUGACUGCAAGUUUCAGGUUUGGGUCAGGUGUUUUUACCUUUAAAGCUCUCAGCAUAAGUCAGUUAAAUGUGUCUGCCAUUCCUUUUUUUGUCCCUUAUAAAGCUGUCCUUGAUCAUUUUAACUCGCGUUUACAUGUAUAGAAUUUUGUGUGUCUGUCUGUGUACGGGGGGAAAAAGAGAUGGUAAUGAAAUGUUACAAUAUGACCUCUCCUCAAAUAAAUGAUCAAAAAAUCC